UUAUUAAAUUAACUUUUUACUCCGACGUAAGAAUGCAGUGUUUGAUGACCUCCGGGGGGAAUGCCGCGAACGGCAGGGUCGCCCCCGAAGCAACAUGAUGCGUUCACAGAGGGUUGGAGGUCGGGAUUGCUCCCUCACUCGGUAAUGAUCCCUCCGCAGGUUCACCUACGGAGA
rnacentral:misc_RNA from 1 species